rnacentral:rRNA from 1 species
CUCUGUGACUCCUACGGGAGGCAGCAGUGGGGAAUAUUGCACAAUGGGCGCAAGCCUGAUGCAGCAACGCCGUGUGAGUGAAGAAGGUUUUCGGAUCGUAAAACUCUGUCCUAAGGGAAGAAACAAAUGACGGUACCUUAGGAGGAAGCCCCGGCUAACUACGUGCCAGCAGCCGCGGUAAUACGUAGGGGGCAAGCGUUAUCCGGAAUCACUGGGCGUAAAGGGUGCGUAGGCGGCUUAGCAAGCCAGGGGUGAAAGGCAUUGGCUCAACCAAUGUAAGCCUUUGGAACUGUUAAGCUUGAGUGCAGGAGAGGUAAGUGGAAUUCCUAGUGUAGAGGUGAAAUUCGUAGAUAUUAGGAGGAACACCAGUGGCGAAGGCGACUUACUGGACUGUAACUGACGCUGAUGCACGAAAGCGUGGGUAGCGAACAGGAUUAGAUACCCUGGUA